rnacentral:lncRNA from 1 species
GGGAGUGUCCCUCCUCCAGGAAGCUCCCAGCCUAGCUGGCGAGCAUGGCCUCCCUUCUCCUCCUGGCCUCCCUUCUCCUCCUGGCCUCCCUUCUCCUCCUGGCUCCACGCCUUCUCUUUGCUUCCUCCCAUUGCCGUUUCUCCUGACGAUCUAAGAAAGAGCAGAAGCCUGAAAUUGGGACCUGGAGGGGACGUCUCUAAUCAAUCUUUGUCCUGGACGUGGGGACGCCGGCGCUGUGGUGCCUGCCCAGCACAUCCUGAGAUGACGCCACUGCUCCUCUUUGGCCCUGCUGAACUGUAUUCCAUGCUGGCUGUCUUUUUCCUGCAUGUAUGUUAAAGAGAUUGAAAAGUGAAGAUACCAGUGGGGUGAUAUCAUCAGAUGUGAGCCCAGCAACCGGCACCUGGAGGUCUU